GGGUUGUGAGGUUAAGCGACUAAGCGUACACGGUGGAUGCCCUGGCAGUCAGAGGCGAUGAAGGACGUGCUAAUCUGCGAUAAGCGUCGGUAAGGUGAUAUGAACCGUUAUAACCGGCGAUUUCCGAAUGGGGAAACCCAGUGUGUUUCGACACACUAUCAUUAACUGAAUCCAUAGGUUAAUGAGGCGAACCGGGGGAACUGAAACAUCUAAGUACCCCGAGGAAAAGAAAUCAACCGAGAUUCCCCCAGUAGCGGCGAGCGAACGGGGAGCAGCCCAGAGCCUGAAUCAGUGUGUGUGUUAGUGGAAGCGUCUGGAAAGGCGCGCGAUACAGGGUGACAGCCCCGUACACAAAAAUGCACAUGCUGUGAGCUCGAUGAGUAGGGCGGGACACGUGGUAUCCUGUCUGAAUAUGGGGGGACCAUCCUCCAAGGCUAAAUACUCCUGACUGACCGAUAGUGAACCAGUACCGUGAGGGAAAGGCGAAAAGAACCCCGGCGAGGGGAGUGAAAAAGAACCUGAAACCGUGUACGUACAAGCAGUGGGAGCACAGAGCAAUCUGUGUGACUGCGUACCUUUUGUAUAAUGGGUCAGCGACUUAUAUUCUGUAGCAAGGUUAACCGAAUAGGGGAGCCGAAGGGAAACCGAGUCUUAACUGGGCGUUAAGUUGCAGGGUAUAGACCCGAAACCCGGUGAUCUAGCCAUGGGCAGGUUGAAGGUUGGGUAACACUAACUGGAGGACCGAACCGACUAAUGUUGAAAAAUUAGCGGAUGACUUGUGGCUGGGGGUGAAAGGCCAAUCAAACCGGGAGAUAGCUGGUUCUCCCCGAAAGCUAUUUAGGUAGCGCCUCGUGAAUUCAUCUCCGGGGGUAGAGCACUGUUUCGGCAAGGGGGUCAUCCCGACUUACCAACCCGAUGCAAACUGCGAAUACCGGAGAAUGUUAUCACGGGAGACACACGGCGGGUGCUAACGUCCGUCGUGAAGAGGGAAACAACCCAGACCGCCAGCUAAGGUCCCAAAGUCAUGGUUAAGUGGGAAACGAUGUGGGAAGGCCCAGACAGCCAGGAUGUUGGCUUAGAAGCAGCCAUCAUUUAAAGAAAGCGUAAUAGCUCACUGGUCGAGUCGGCCUGCGCGGAAGAUGUAACGGGGCUAAACCAUGCACCGAAGCUGCGGCAGCGACGCUGAUGCGUUGUUGGGUAGGGGAGCGUUCUGUAAGCCUGUGAAGGUGUGCUGUGAGGCAUGCUGGAGGUAUCAGAAGUGCGAAUGCUGACAUAAGUAACGAUAAAGCGGGUGAAAAGCCCGCUCGCCGGAAGACCAAGGGUUCCUGUCCAACGUUAAUCGGGGCAGGGUGAGUCGACCCCUAAGGCGAGGCCGAAAGGCGUAGUCGAUGGGAAACAGGUUAAUAUUCCUGUACUUGGUGUUACUGCGAAGGGGGGACGGAGAAGGCUAUGUUGGCCGGGCGACGGUUGUCCCGGUUUAAGCGUGUAGGCUGGUUUUCCAGGCAAAUCCGGAAAACUAAGGCUGAGGCGUGAUGACGAGGCACUACGGUGCUGAAGCAACAAAUGCCCUGCUUCCAGGAAAAGCCUCUAAGCAUCAGGUAACAUCAAAUCGUACCCCAAACCGACACAGGUGGUCAGGUAGAGAAUACCAAGGCGCUUGAGAGAACUCGGGUGAAGGAACUAGGCAAAAUGGUGCCGUAACUUCGGGAGAAGGCACGCUGAUAUGUAGGUGAAGUCCCUCGCGGAUGGAGCUGAAAUCAGUCGAAGAUACCAGCUGGCUGCAACUGUUUAUUAAAAACACAGCACUGUGCAAACACGAAAGUGGACGUAUACGGUGUGACGCCUGCCCGGUGCCGGAAGGUUAAUUGAUGGGGUCAGCGCAAGCGAAGCUCUUGAUCGAAGCCCCGGUAAACGGCGGCCGUAACUAUAACGGUCCUAAGGUAGCGAAAUUCCUUGUCGGGUAAGUUCCGACCUGCACGAAUGGCGUAAUGAUGGCCAGGCUGUCUCCACCCGAGACUCAGUGAAAUUGAACUCGCUGUGAAGAUGCAGUGUACCCGCGGCAAGACGGAAAGACCCCGUGAACCUUUACUAUAGCUUGACACUGAACAUUGAGCCUUGAUGUGUAGGAUAGGUGGGAGGCUUUGAAGUGUGGACGCCAGUCUGCAUGGAGCCGACCUUGAAAUACCACCCUUUAAUGUUUGAUGUUCUAACGUUGACCCGUAAUCCGGGUUGCGGACAGUGUCUGGUGGGUAGUUUGACUGGGGCGGUCUCCUCCUAAAGAGUAACGGAGGAGCACGAAGGUUGGCUAAUCCUGGUCGGACAUCAGGAGGUUAGUGCAAUGGCAUAAGCCAGCUUGACUGCGAGCGUGACGGCGCGAGCAGGUGCGAAAGCAGGUCAUAGUGAUCCGGUGGUUCUGAAUGGAAGGGCCAUCGCUCAACGGAUAAAAGGUACUCCGGGGAUAACAGGCUGAUACCGCCCAAGAGUUCAUAUCGACGGCGGUGUUUGGCACCUCGAUGUCGGCUCAUCACAUCCUGGGGCUGAAGUAGGUCCCAAGGGUAUGGCUGUUCGCCAUUUAAAGUGGUACGCGAGCUGGGUUUAGAACGUCGUGAGACAGUUCGGUCCCUAUCUGCCGUGGGCGCUGGAGAACUGAGGGGGGCUGCUCCUAGUACGAGAGGACCGGAGUGGACGCAUCACUGGUGUUCGGGUUGUCAUGCCAAUGGCACUGCCCGGUAGCUAAAUGCGGAAGAGAUAAGUGCUGAAAGCAUCUAAGCACGAAACUUGCCCCGAGAUGAGUUCUCCCUGACUCCUUGAGAGUCCUGAAGGAACGUUGAAG
rnacentral:rRNA from 1 species